GCGGAGCAGGAGCUCGUGCGGCACGGCUUCAUCAUCUCCCGCCCGCCUAUCCUCACGCUGCCCAGGAUCGCCACGGUGGAUGGGGAGCUUCUGGGCGGAGAGUUCCACCGUGUGCAGCAGCAGCCGCCCUCGCACUCCAACCUCGCGCUCAGUCUCGCCAGCCUCGAGGCUCGUCUUGCUCACGUCCCCUCCACGGCUUACUAUCCCCUCAUAACGCAGAGAAAAAGCAGCAGCGAAGACACUGAGGCCAGGAAGCUGCCUCUGGUGAUCAGGGAGAAGGACGUCGAGUAUCAGUUUCACCGCAUCAUUCUCUUCCACCGCCUGC